rnacentral:rRNA from 1 species
UACGAAGGAUCCAAGCGUUAUCCGGAUUCAUUGGGUUUAAAGGGUGCGUAGGCGGCCUAUUAAGUCAGUGGUGAAAGCCUGAUGCUCAACAUCAGAACUGCCAUUGAUACUGAUGGGCUUGAGUACACUUGAGGAGGGCGGAAUGUGUCAUGUAGCGGUGAAAUGCUUAGAUAUGACACAGAACACCGAUUGCGAAGGCAGCUCUCUAAGGUGCAACUGACGCUGAGGCACUAAAGCGUGGGGAGCAAACAGG